ensembl:lncRNA
UUUUUUUUUUUUUUUUUUUGAGAUAGGAAGGAGUGUUUUGGUUCUUUGUGUCUCAAGCUCUGCUGCUGCCAUGUGCUGCCCCAGUGAGUCUGCUGGCACAUUCACAUGCUGCUGCCUGACAAAGUGGAGUCUUGGUGCAUGUAUGAGGUUUUGGACUUUUUUUCCUCUGGCUUUGUUUUAAAGCUAGCCACAGUUUCCUGUGCAACCUGACCUCUGUGUUUUCAGCAUGCCCCAGUGUCAUUUCCGUGUGACUCAGAUCUGGGCUGGUGUUUGCAGCCUGGCUUUCCCCUCAGGCCUGACCCACAGUGCCAGCAUGCACCAGGGGGUGAGGUCCCUGCUCCUGGUAUUCCAGCCAGGAGGUUGAUAGGAACAACCUCUUGUAGGUCUUCACUGGUACACAGCAAGAGGUUGUCAGAAGUUUGACAACAAUAGCAGGAAUGUGCUAUUGAGGCUCUGGGACCCGUUGUUUCAAAAUGUCACAGAGAUAAAUAAUUUAGCAAGAUUCAUAUUUGGGUUUGGUGUUAUAUGAAAACAAGACUAUUAAGGAGUAAAUAAUCAAAAAAUUAUUUGUAAAGGUUGCAAAGUGCCAAGUUUUGAAGAUUUAAACCAGUCAUCAUGAACUGGCAGGAACUCUCCAUGGGGAGCUAUUUAUCCUGACCAAAGUUUCUUGCAAGUGCUUCCAAAGUACCUCUGUUAGGGUCAGCCUAUAGGGUCCACUUAAGCUGACCAUUGCCCUGAUUGAUUUUUAGGUGCUAAGCUACAGAAAAUAAGAUAAUGUCAGAGGUUAAUCUAUGACACAUAAUAGUGACCACAACUGAUGUGACAGACAUGAUGUACAAUUGCAGCAGAGAAAGCAAAAUCAUUUUCAUGAAAAAUAGAAUCUGCCAACCUCAGUCUUUGCAGCAUUUCAGAGAAAAUAUCUCUGACAUCCUGCAUGCACCCAUUUCACUCAUAUAUACUGUGAAUAGUUUAAGACACUUAUCUUGUCUCACAAUCUCAGGUCAAAAGGAAAUCACUCAUUAAAGAACAAAAUUAUGAACAUGAUUGGAGUGCUUUUGAAACGUGCUGUGCUGGCAUGCCUGUGCUUUGGUAUCCAGAGAGACAGCACGAAGUAGAUGGAUACCUUUCCCUACACUGACAUGGUGUUGUUCCUUGCUCUGGUCCCAAAGGACUGUCCCACCUGAGCCUGAGAGUUUUGGCUGAGGAGACCGGAGAGUGCCCACAGCAGCCCAGGGUGUGACAGAUCAUCCUGUCCCCAGACUGAGCCUGCACAGGCCCCAUCAGCUCCUGGCAACUGCCAGGUACCGUCCCCCUCCAUCUGGCCUGGACCACCUUUAGUCUCGCUCCCCAGGGAACUGUUUGUGUCCCCCUUGUAGUGCCUUGAAAGAAAUCUCUCCCUGCUCAGCUACCCCAGCACUGCCCCGGCGCCUGCUCAGCAGCCCUGCAGGCUCUCAGUGCACCCAGCUGAUCCGCACAGCUGGGCCUCAGCAUUGGGUGGGCAGCAGCACUCAGCACUUUGGCUCAUCCUGUGACCUGUCCCCAGCCAGGCUGGAGCUCCAGGGUGGAGCUGGGCCCUGUGAGGAUGUUUCCUCAGCAGGGAGCCAUGGAAGCUGCCAGCUCCUGCAACCAGAGGAGAACUUGGCAGCACUGGCCACUGCCCACGCAUGGCUGAGGCACCUGCAGCCCCACCAAACAAGGCCUGGUGAAAACACCCUAACCUGUCCUCAGCAACAGGGUGGGUGUAGAUAAAUGCCAAAGAAAAGAAGUGCAGCUGCAGCUCGAGUACAGAAAAUACAGUCUGCUUAUUGCUGCAGCUCUCAGUGACAUCAAAGCAGCUUGGCUGAAGCUCAGCUCUUUACUCCAGCCCUCAUCUGUGCUUUUGUGCUGUUCUCAUCUUAUCUUAUAAAGGUGUUAAACAGAUUUUCCAUGUCACUUUGUGGUUUUGACACUUGUAAAACAGGCGUGGUUUUUCUUGGAGCUGUGAUCUCCAAACACAGCUCAAGGAAGAUAAUGAUGCUUAGUUUGGAGAUCUGGGUCUACCUGACUCAGCCACAUUGACUGGUGUUGCUACAUUAUAUGUAGCAAGAUACUUUUUUACUGUGAAAAUAUCUGUCCUCUUUUAGGCUUAAGGUGGGAGUUUUAACAGCCAUUUAAGUCUGCUCUUAAGGAAUGAAUGAUCUCACACUUCAGUGGCAAAACUCUUCACAACUUCACUCUAAUUUACUCAUUCACAUCAAUUUUGAAGAUUAUCUGGACUGUCAUACUUAUAUUACAAUGAAACAACAGUUACUACCUGAGUAAAAAAAAAAAAAAAAAAAAAA